UACGGGGGGAGCAAGCGUUGUUCGGAUUUACUGGGCGUAAAGGGCGCGUAGGCGGCCAGCACAAGUCAGUUGUGAAAUCUCCGGGCUUAACUCGGAAAGGUCAACUGAUACUGUGCGACUAGAGUGCGGAAGGGGCAACUGGAAUUCUCGGUGUAGCGGUGAAAUGCGUAGAUAUCGAGAGGAACACCUGCGGCGAAGGCGGGUUGCUGGGCCGACACUGACGCUGAGGCGCGAAAGCCGGGGGAGCGAACGGG
rnacentral:rRNA from 1 species